AGCCCCCUGGUGCUUACCACAGGCUGUGUUCUUACAUGGACUGUACAGAAAGAGGAAGCAGAGUAAACCCACCAAAAACAUCUCAGCCCAGGCCCAUUGCCUGGUCUGUACUGUGAGUGGGGGGAUACGG
ensembl:snoRNA